rnacentral:lncRNA from 1 species
CUAGUAAAUACAAGAAAGAUAAGAGAGAAGAAAGAUACUAGAUAUGCCAAAAAGAAAUCUCAAAAUGUUAGGUGUCAUGAAUGUCAGGGAUUUGAACACAUUAGAGCUAAGUGUCUUAAGUUAUAAGAAGACUUAGGAAAGGCAAUGAAUGUCACUCACAAUGAGUCUAGUUUUGAGAAUCAAAGUGAGACUUCAAUAUUCAUGGAUAGUUGGCACUACAUGGCUCUUACUUCCAUUGUGGAAUGUGAAAGUGAGAAGAGUGAUGGUAAGAUCGAGAAUUUAGAGCAAACUGAAUCGUCAUAGGGAGAGUCUAACAGUGAAAAAGAUCUCAGAUAAAUAGAUCACCAAAAAAAGGAAAGAAACCUCAUUUUUUCAUGAGAUGGAUAAAAUAACUGAUGUAAGGUAAGAUUUAAACCUUUAUUGUUUUCAUCUAAUUGCGAAAAUCAAAAUAGAAAAAUAGAGGGGUUUUAUUUUAUGCAUUACUUUCACUGGUUCUUCCACCCUCUCCUGUUUCACCUAUCCCUUCACUCCCCAAGAGGUUUAUGAUAAGUUAUUUGAGGAGAGUCUUAAUUUGAAGAAGUUAAAUAGGCCUGCCUUUAAAAAGCGGCCUGUUAUUAAGUCAGAGAAGGAAAUCUUUUAGCUGAACUUGAAUGUUGAGGAGUCUUAGAAAAUAAAGUCAAGACACUAGAGUAAACUUGAUAAAUCCAAUGCACAGCUUCGUACUUUCUAUGGUGGGUCUAAGAAGCUUGACAACAUUUUAAGACUGAACAUGUCUGCAAUAAAUAAUGGAGGUUUGGUUUAUAAUGGAAUCAAUUUUCAUGAUACUACCUCUUCUAAAAC